GACGAACGCUGGCGGCGGGCUUAACACAUGCAAGUCGAACGGAAAGGCCCUGCUGCUGUGGGGUGCUCGAGUGGCGAACGGGUGAGUAACACGUGAGUAACCUGCCCUUGACUUUGGGAUAACUUCAGGAAACUGGGGCUAAUACCGGAUAGGAGCUCCUGCUGCAUGGUGGGGGUGGGAAAGGUGCGGCGGUUGGGGAUGGACUCGCGGCUGAUCAGCUUGUUGGUGGGGUAGUGGCUUACCAAGGCUUUGACGGGUAGCCGGCCUGAGAGGGUGACCGGCCACAUUGGGACUGAGAUACGGCCCAGACUCCUACGGGAGGCAGCAGUGGGGAAUAUUGCGCAAUGGGCGGAAGCCUGAUGCAGCAACGCCGCGUGCGGGAUGACGGCCUUCGGGUUGUAAACCGCUUUCGCCUGUGACGAAGCGUGAGUGACGGUAAUGGGUAAAGAAGCACCGGCUAACUACGUG
rnacentral:rRNA from 1 species